GCUUGCUUUUUAAUCUUAGCGGCGGACGGGUGAGUAACGCGUGGGUAACCUGCCCUAUACACACGGAUAACAUAUCGAAAGAUAUGCUAAUACGAGAUAACACAUUUUUAAGGCAUCUUAGAAAUGUCAAAGCGUUAGCGGUAUAGGAUGGACCCGCGUCCCAUUAGCUAGUUGGUGAGGUAAAAGCUUACCAAGGCGACGAUGGGUAGCCGACCUGAGAGGGUGAUCGGCCACACUGGAACUGAGACACGGUCCAGACUCCUACGGGAGGCAGCAGUGGGGAAUAUUGCACAAUGGGGGAAACCCUGAUGCAGCAACGCCGCGUGAGCGAUGAAGGCCUUCGGGUCGUAAAGCUCUGUCCUAAGGGAAGAUAAUGACGGUACCUUAGGAGGAAGCCCCGGCUAACUACGUGCCAGCAGCCGCGGUAAUACGUAGGGGGCAAGCGUUAUCCGGAAUUACUGGGCGUAAAGGGUGCGUAGGCGGCCUUGUAAGUCAGAAGUGAAAGGCUACGGCUCAACCGUAGUAAGCCUUUGAAACUGCAGGGCUUGAGUGCAGGAGAGGAGAGUAGAAUUCCUAGUGUAGCGGUGAAAUGCGUAGAUAUUAGGAGGAAUACCAGUUGCGAAGGCGGCUCUCUGGACUGUAACUGACGCUGAGGCACGAAAGCGUGGGGAGCGAACAGGAUUAGAUACCCUGGUAGUCCACGCCGUAAACGAUGAGUG
rnacentral:rRNA from 1 species